rnacentral:tRNA from 1 species
GCCCUUUUAACUCAGUGGUAGAGUAAUGCCAUGGUGUAAGGCAUAAGUCAUCGGUUCAAAUCCAAUAAAGGGAA